rnacentral:rRNA from 1 species
CUACGCUGCGAUAAGCCGUGGGGAGCUGCGAAGAAGCUUUGAUCCACGGAUUUCCGAAUGGGGAAACCCACCUUCGAUAGCCGGAACUCCAAGACCUCAAGUCUUGGGGCUUGACCAGAAAUGAUCGGGACCAGACCGAAGAGGUUUUGGAUUUCCGGUUAUCAAGUGAAGGUAUGAGACUUCUGAAUAAAAUAGGAGGUUUCAAGCAAACCCAGGGAACUGAAACAUCUAAGUACCUGGAGGAAAGGACAUCAACAGAGACUCCGUUAGUAGUGGCGAGCGAACGCGGACCAGGCCAGUGAUACAUCAAAGACAAUCGGAACCAGUCAGGAAAGCUGGGCCUCAGAGGGUGAUAGCCCCGUACGAGUAAUGCGAUGAUGUAUCCACGAGUAAGGCGGGACACGUGCAAUCCUGUCUGAACACGGGGGGACCACCCUCCAAGCCUAAGUACUCCUCAGCGACCGAUAGC